UUAGGCCUCUUUUAUCUCCUCUUCCACACCAGUUGAGCUGUUUGGCCACUGGACCAAACACUUUGGAGGCUACACGCCAAAUGGUUUUUUUCAGAGUUUGUCCUCCUCUGAUGGAUAACCUCUUCAUCUUAAAAAUAAAAGGAAAGGUGUCAUCCUCAGUGUCCACCACCAUUUGACCACUUGACCGAGGGGCAAGGGACUAGACCACUGAAGUUAGAUGGGUAAUCUUCAAGUCCAGCUCAUUAAGCUUCUCCAAAAUUGCCCUCUCCACAGCUGCAACACACUCGAUGGGUGGUCCCCCCAAGCAUCUUCUUGCUCAUUUACAUGGGACAUGCUUAUUGGAAAAACUGGUGCUGAGAAAGGUCAAGUUACUAAAUUAAAUGUUACCGUAAUUACCCGAAGUGAGACAUACAACUUACGUGGUGCUCUGUCUUGUAAAGGCCGCAGCACAGAAAAUGCAUCCUCUGUUGGAUUGUACAGAAAAUGUUGAGUUACCUAGUGUUGGGGUUUAUCCCAAGUGUCUUGGUGCUCCACUUCCUGGCAGAACCUCACAGGCAUUUCAGAUUCCGAGAUGUCAGAUGUGUAGCAUGCCUGUUUCCAUUUCUUUGAAAUCUUGUCAAAAGAUGCUGAAAGAAAUAAAAAUUCUGGCCUGAUGCUUGGUCCAACCUUUAUCUGGUUGUGGUGCCUCCAUCAACCGGACACUCCUCAAUACCCUGUCUAUCUUCUUGUAUGGAGGCCACCACGAGUGACCCUCUGAGUACCAAGACUUGGCGACAGGUCCGGUACUCCCUUCGUGAAUGAACUCCACUAUCAGGUACAUUUUUUUUAAGCUGCAAGAACCUAGAGCCCCAUAAUGUUAAAUGACACAUAUUAAAUUUCGGUUGUUUAUGUGCAUGAUU
rnacentral:lncRNA from 1 species